CCUACGGGGGGCAGCAGUGGGGGAUAUUGCACAAUGGGGGAAACCCUGAUGCAGCGACGCCGCGUGUGGGAAGACGGUCCUCUGGAUUGUAAACCACUGUCCCCAGGGACGAAGAUGACGGUACCUGGGGAGGAAGCUCCGGCUAACUACGUGCCAGCAGCCGCGGUAAUACGUAGGGAGCGAGCGUUGUCCGGAAUUACUGGGUGAAAAGGGAGCGUAGGCGGGACUGCAAGUUGGGUGUCAAAUCUACCGGCUCAACCGGUAGCCGCACUCAAAACUGCAGUUCUUGAGUGAAGUAGAGGCAGGCGGAAUUCCUAGUGUAGCGGUGAAAUGCGUAGAUAUUAGGAGGAACACCAGUGGCGAAGGCGGCCUGCUGGGCUUUUACUGACACUGAGGCUCGAAAGUGUGGGGAGCAAACAGGAUUAGAUACCCGGGUAGUC
rnacentral:rRNA from 1 species